AGAAACAUGUACUACCCAUUCAUAUGAAGAUAAAGAUACAUAUUCUCCACAUUUUUCUCAUAAUUCCUUACCACCAUCUCCUUCCAAGAAAAGAAAACAACAUUUUUAUCCUUAACCCUACUUCCCUUUCAUUUUUUAUUCUCCUCAUUCACCCUAACUCUAUAGCAUUGUCCUCACUUUAGAAGUUUUUCAUCUCAUCUUGCAACCUUUUGAAACUUCAGCAACUCUAGCAAUAGUCUCAGCUUGCCAUUUGCUCAGCAUUGCCACCACUUCAGAAAUUUGUCAUCCCACCUUGGAACAUUUUAAAACUUUAUCAAAUCUACAAAAUGGCUGAAACUUACCACCUCCUCAUUUAUGCUUCCUCAGUUGAUCCAUAGAUGAUCCUGAAUGAAUAUUUAUUAUCUUAUUUCUUAGUAUUUAACUGUAAAUAGUCUAUGGCAAGUUGCCAUCGAAACAGAUUAUUCCACUAACUAAGCUGCAAAUAUGCAAGACUCAAAAUUAUUCCACUAACUAACUUGCUUGCGAUCAACAUUAGUAUCCAACAUCAUCCUUUCUGGUUCAAAACAUUGAGCAUCUACCUAGUGACCAUAUGAUGCAUGUGGGGAGCAUUGAGCUUCGUUUCGGCACCAGUGAUGCUCGUGGUCCUCUUCCACCAUGGCCAUACACUCUGCAUAUAGUACCAUCUACCACAUUGUAGUAUUAGAUUUCAUCAGAACCCUUGCAACUUCUAGGUCCAACAAGAAAGCAGAGGCAAACUUCUUGCUGCAAUUAUGUUCAUGCACGUGGAACAAAUAGUACAUGGUAUUAACUCUUCUGGGUGCGCUUAAAAAUUAAGUUACCAGAGACUCUUCACCAUACGUCUCUUGAAUAUUAUUGUAGGUACCAAGGUACACACUAAUGAUUCUCACACAUACAAUAAAGUUCGCACCGGUUUUUUCCAACUCUAGCUCAGGGAUAUGUACAAUUGUUAGCAUGCCCCAAACUUAUGCAACGAUAACAAUCAGCAAGCCGUUGCUGCCCUCAAGUUUAACUCCUCUCCACGCAUCAGAUAUUUUCCCAAUUGAGCAACGGACUUAUCACAAAAAUAGAAUUUUCUACCAAAACAGUAUUUGAGCCCAUGAUACCAAGUAUGCAUACACAAAAUGAAAGAAACAAGCAAUACGCUUGUUAACAGUGCAGACCUUCUACUCAAGGUGGUAGAGGAGCCGCAUAAGGUGCCAGCAGCAAGCACACCCCCGCACCGUCAUCUACACCUUCCUCUCCUGUCCUCACAUUCACAACUACAACCAAGAAUAGCAACAAAGUCACCCUCUUCGUUCUCAAAAGUAAGGAAAAUAAAACAAUUUUGAGACGGUGGACAACUGACCUUCUUGUCGAGCUUGAUCUUUCUCAUCCCACGUAAUCCAUGUCAGAUCGCCACCGCUUCCCGAAAAAUCAGCAACCUCCUUGCUCUCCCCACCUCCUAAUAUUAAAAUAUCGACAUGAUAGCAGCAACAACACAGGGAGGGUCUUGAGAAUGAAGUGCCAUGUUCAUACCGAAGGAAAAUAAUCAUGCUCAAAUAGAAAGAUAUGAAUUAUUAGUAGAAGGAAGACACCUAUUAUAGCAUGCAUAACUAUUCAGUAUGAUCGCAAUGGUGAAUAAAAUUGACAAAUACUUUAUGGGAGGGGGAAGAACGACCACGGAAAAGAGGUGACGGUGAUGGUCGGUUGUGGGCUCAGUUUUGUUGAGGCUACGAUAACUUCCAAUAGCGAGACUUGAAGCCAUGCAUGGUGAUCGUGGAGUCCGUCUAUUUGAGUCGGCGCACGCGUCCAUCAAACCCGUACACAACUACAUGAUUUGGAGGGAGUGACUGGCCAGCCACCACCAGAGCACUUGGUGGUAAACAAUAAAUCAAUAUCUUCCUCUCGCGCGAUUAGAAAGUUAGCGUAUUCCAAAAACAAAAGAAACAAGGCUAAAAAUGAACUGCUUGAACUCCUCUACCAAGAAUAAGCGGUCAUAGAAAGUCCAUUGCUGGCACCUCACUUCUUCUAUCAAAAUGUGUUCAACUACAUUAAUGUUUCAAAAUUGCAAGUGUACUCAUAGGUGAAAAUUGAAAUUUUCUACGAUGGACAUGUAAAACAGUCUAGGUGAAUUAGGGAAAGUCGGUAGCACAACGAAUGAAUAACCAAGCUGACAACACAAAUAAUGAUUAACUAAGUUGAUAGCACAAACAAAAGUAACCACUGAUAGCAAAGAACAAUAUGAUCUACGAGUACAUGAGGAAGAAAUAUGUAAAAAAUAAUGGUAGCUAUCUGACUGUUUAAGCAGUUCAUCUCAAGGGCAGACAUAGUCAGUAAACAAAUUGGUGAAAAGAAGACUGAAGUUGUACCGUAAUUCAUCCAUGGCAGCUAUGUAGGAUGCAUUAUGAUGUGGUUCACUCCGAAAGAGGCUCCCUAUCCAAUCCAAAACCUGAAAUCGAUUAAUUACUCAACGCCAGAUAAUCAAUGUACCACUACAUGGUACCAUGAAUCCAUAAUAACUAAUUAAUCUACAACAAUUCUAGACAUCAUUGACACUUAGACGUUGUAAAACCAAAUUACAGAUAGAUUUUCAGAUUAACCCGAGUCUAUAACCUUAUACGCACUACCACAUUCGAUGAACGGCGAAACAAUGUUCAGCACUACCACAUAUAUUGUGAAUCUUCCCUGAACUUUUCAGUUU
rnacentral:lncRNA from 1 species